rnacentral:rRNA from 1 species
UCCUGGCUUAGGACGAACGCUGGCGGCGUGCCUAACACAUGCAAGUCGAGCGGAGUCGGUAAGAGGAAGUUUCGGAUGGAAUCUUAUUGAUUUAGCGGCGGACGGGUGAGUAACGCGUGAGCGACCAACCUUGCACAGGGGGAUAACGGACCGAAAGGUUCACUAAUACCGCAUGAGACCACGGUGUUGCAUGACACAGAGGUCAAAGGAGCAAUCCGGUGCAAGACGGGCUCGCGUCCGAUUAGGUAGUUGGAGGGGUAACGGCCCACCAAGCCUAUGAUCGGUAGCCGACCUGAGAGGGUGAUCGGCCACAUUGGAACUGAGAUACGGUCCAAACUCCUACGGGAGGCAGCAGUGGGGAAUAUUGGGCCAAUGGGGGAAACCCUGACCCAGCAACGCCGCGUGAAGGAAGAAGGUUUUCGGAUUGUAAACUUCUGUCCUUGGUGAAGAGAAGAAGACGGUAGCCAAGGAGGAAGCCCCGGCUAACUACGUGCCAGCCGCCGC